rnacentral:rRNA from 1 species
GUUCUUAUGCGCGGGAUUACCUCAGUAACGGCGAGUGAAGCGGUAACAGCUCAAAUUUGAAAUCUGGCUCUUUCAGGGUCCGAGUUGUAAUUUGUAGAAGAUGCUUCGGGUGUGGCUCCGGUCUAAGUUCCUUGGAACAGGACGUCAUAGAGGGUGAGAAUCCCGUAUGUGACUGGUUGCCUUCGCCCAUGUGAAGCUCUUUCGACGAGUCGAGUUGUUUGGGAAUGCAGCUCUAAAUGGGAGGUAUAUUUCUUCUAAAGCUAAAUAUUGGCCAGAGACCGAUAGCGCACAAGUAGAGUGAUCGAAAGAUGAAAAGCACUUUGGAAAGAGAGUUAAACAGUACGUGAAAUUGUUGAAAGGGAAGCGCUUGCAACCAGACUUGCACGCCGUCGAUCAUCCUGGGUUCUCCCUGGUGCACUCGGCGGCGUUCAGGCCAGCAUCGGUUUUGGUGGUUGGAUAAAGGCCUUGGGAAUGUGGCUCCUCUCGGGGAGUGUUAUAGCCCUCGGUGCAAUGCAGCCUACCGGGACCGAGGACCGCGCUUCGGCUAGGAUGCUGGCGUAAUGGUUGUAAGCGACCCGUCUUGAAACACGGACCAAGGAGUCUAACAUCUAUGCGAGUGUUUGGGUGUCAAACCCAUACGCGUAAUUAACGUGAACGGAGGUGAGAACCCUUUAGGGUGCAUCAUCGACCGAUCCUGAUGUCUUCGGAUGGAUUUGAGUAAGAGCAUAGCUGUUGGGACCCGAAAGAUGGUGAACUAUGCCUAAAUAGGGUGAAGCCAGAGGAAACUCUGGUGGAGGCUCGCAGCGGUUCUGACGUGCAAAUCGAUCGUCAAAUUUGGGUAUAGGGGCGAAAGACUAAUCGAACCAUCUAGUAGCUGGUUCCCUGCCGAAGUCUCCCUCCUGAGGAGUUUAGCAAA